rnacentral:rRNA from 1 species
AUUGAACGCUGGCGGCAGGCCUAACACAUGCAAGUCGAGCGGAUGAAGGGAUCUUGCUCCUGGAUUCAGCGGCGGACGGGUGAGUAAUGCCUAGGAAUCUGCCUGCUAGUGGGGUAUAACUUCCGGACACGGUCGCUAAUACCGCAUACGUCCUGAUGGAGAAAGUGGGGGAUCUUCGGACCUCACGCUAUCAGAUGAGCCUAGGUCGGAUUAGCUCGUUGGUGGGGUAAAGGCCUACCAAGGCGACGUUCCGUAACUGGUCUGAGAGGAUGAUCAGUCACACUGGAACUGAGACACGGUCCAGAAUCCUACGGGAGGCAGCAGUGGGGAAUAUUGGACCAUGGGCGAAAGCCUGAUCCAGCCAUGCCGCGUGUGUGAAGAAGGUCUUCGGAUUGUAAAGAACUUUAAGUUGGGAGGAAGGGCAGUAAGUUAAUACCUUGCUGUUUUGACGUUACCAACAGAAUAAGCACCGGCUAACUACGUG